ACGGAAGGCAGCAGUGAGGAAUAUUGGUCAAUGGGCGUAAGCCUGAACCAGCCAAGUAGCGUGAGGGAUGACGGCCCUAUGGGUUGUAAACCUCUUUUGUGAGGGAAUAAAGUGUGCCACGUGUGGUCCAUUGCAUGUACCUUACGAAUAAGGAUCGGCUAACUCCGUGCCAGCAGCCGCGGUAAUACGGAGGAUCCGAGCGUUAUCCGGAUUUAUUGGGUUUAAAGGGAGCGUAGGCGGGAGGUCAAGUCAGCUGUGAAAUGUAGUCGCUCAACGUCUGCACUGCAGUUGAAACUGGUCUUCUUGAGUGCGUAAGAGGCAGGUGGAAUUCGUCGUGUAGCGGUGAAAUGCUUAGAUAUGACGAAGAACUCCGAUUGCGAAGGCAGCUUGCUGGGCCGCAACUGACGCUGAAGCUCGAAGGUGCGGGUAUCAAACAGGAUUAGAUACCCUGGUA
rnacentral:rRNA from 1 species